AUACUCUGGUUUCUCUUCAGAUCGUAUAAAUCUUUCGCCUUUUACUAAAGAUUUCCGUGAAGAAUAAUUUUGGAAGCAGAUAUGAAUUUGAAUUUGGGUAGAAAUUUGAAUCAAUGAAGUC